rnacentral:misc_RNA from 1 species
AUACACCCCAAACUGCAACAAAAGAAUGAUCAAGGAAGAUCAUUAAUUUCCAACAGCAACAUCUUAUCGUAAAAUCCAUCUCCUAAUAUUUCCGAUUAAAAAUAACACAUCAGAUAAGCACAUCAUCAGAAAAAGAAAAGAAAGAAAAAGAGGCCUCACCAACUAAUUGAAAUAUGGACUACCUAAUCCAUAAAUUUCACUCUUGCCCCCUCUGAACUACACUACAUCUAAAUUAAAUGACUAACAAAAAACAAUAAGAGAGAACAAUGCAACAUUAUCUUGCUGACAGAAGGGCCAAAAAAAAAAGAAUCCAGCUGAUUAUGUUGACACAUGUAGUAAUGAUUUGGUUGUG